UACGUAGGUGGCAAGCGUUGUCCGGAAUUAUUGGGCGUAAGGCGCGCGCAGACGGUCCUUUAAGUCUGAUGUGAAAGCCCACGGCUCAACCGUGGAAGGUCAUUGGAAACUGGAGGACUUGAGUACAGAAGAGGAAAGUGGAAUUCCACGUGUAGCGGUGAAAUGCGUAGAGAUGUGGAGGAACACCAGUGGCGAAGGCGACUUUCUGGUCUGUAACUGACGUUGAGGCGCGAAAGCGUGGGGAGCAAACAGG
rnacentral:rRNA from 1 species